rnacentral:rRNA from 1 species
AGCAACGCCGCGUGAGGGACGACGGCCUUCGGGUUGUAAACCUCUUUUAGCAGGGAAGAAGCGAGAGUGACGGUACCUGCAGAAAAAGCACCGGCUAACUACGUGCCAGCAGCCGCGGUAAUACGUAGGGUGCGAGCGUUAUCCGGAAUUAUUGGGCGUAAAGAGCUCGUAGGCGGUCUGUCGCGUCUGCUGUGAAAUCCCGAGGCUCAACCUCGGGCUUGCAGUGGGUACGGGCAGACUAGAGUGCGGUAGGGGAGAUUGGAAUUCCUGGUGUAGCGGUGGAAUGCGCAGAUAUCAGGAGGAACACCGAUGGCGAAGGCAGAUCUCUGGGCCGUUACUGACGCUGAGGAGCGAAAGCGUGGGGAGCAAACAGGCUUAGAUACCCUGGUAGUCCACGCCGUAAACGUUGGGAACUAGAUGUGGGGACCAUUCCACGGUCUCCGUGUCGUAGCUAACGCAUUAAGUUCCCCGCCUGGGGAGUACGGCCGCAAGGCUAAAACUCAAAGGAAUUGACGGGGGCCCGCACAAGCGGCGGAGCAUGCGGAUUAAUUCGAUGCAACGCGAAGAACCUUACCAAGGCUUGACAUGUACGAGAACGCGCUGGAGACAGUGAACUCUUUGGACACUCGUAUACAGGUGGUGCAUGGUUGUCGUCAGCUCGUGUCGUGAGAUGUUGGGUUAAGUCCCGCAACGAGCGCAACCCUCGUCCUAUGUUGCCAGCACGUCAUGGUGGGAACUCAUGGGAUACUGCCGGGGUCAACUCGGAGGAAGGUGGGG